UUCCGGGCGAUCAGAAGCCAGGGAUCUCUGGGCACCUAUGUGCCUGGGCCUGCUGGGGCGACCGGGGAGGCCCCUGCUCUCGUCCUCUGACGCUCAGCGCUGGCCCAGCCGCGACCUUGGGCUCCCGGAGCCCGGCGGAGGCGCCCAGGCGUGAAUGAUGUCCCUUGGAAUGUUCACUCUGGGGGAAGCCAGCUGCCACGCUGUAAGGACACUCGGGCAGUCCUAUGAAGAGGCCCGUGUGGUGAGAAAGAGAGGCCUCCAGCCAACAGCCAUGUGAGGAAACAGCCUGUCAUCCCAGCUGAGGCCAUCCUAGAUCAGCCAACUGUCAGCUGCUUGUGUGUCAGUGAACCCCAGCCAAGACCGGAAGACCUGCCCAGCUGAGCUCAGCCAAGAUCAGCAAAACCUCUCAGCUUAUAACCUUAUAAACUUACCAAUUUAGGUGUGGUUGUGACACAGAAUUAUUGUAUUAUUGUAUGCAUGGUGAGUAUUGUAUAUUACACAUGGGAAUCAUAGAAACAGUGAAAAGCCAGUAAUUUCUGAGUAUAUAUUAAAGUUAGGGCAAAUUGUGUGAGGUGGAGAAGCCACAUACUCCAAAUUUCUGGCCUGAGACAUUGGAAGAAUGAAUAUGGAUGAUGGAGGUGGAUAUUGAAUCUGAAAUGAAUUUUUCAUUUUGUGAAAUUUUGUGAAGUUUCAUUUUGUGUUGAAUAUCUUGUGACUCACCGAAAUGAAAAUCAUAAAAUAAAAUUUGUCCUUAAUGC
rnacentral:lncRNA from 1 species